UACGGAGGGUGCGAGCGUUAAUCGGAAUUACUGGGCGUAAAGCGCGCGUAGGCGGUGUGAUAAGCCGGUUGUGAAAGCCCCGGGCUCAAACUCGGAACGGCAUCCGAAACUGUCACGCUAGAGUGCAGGAGAGGCAGGUAGAAUUCCCGGUGUAGCGGUAAAAUGCGUAGAGAUCGGGAGGAAUACCGGUGGCGAAGGCGGCCUUCUGGACUGACACUGACGCUGAGGUGCGAAAGCGUGGGUAGCAAACAGG
rnacentral:misc_RNA from 1 species